UCUGAUAUUCAGAUUCUUACU
rnacentral:siRNA from 1 species